rnacentral:rRNA from 1 species
UACAGAGGGUGCGAGCGUUGUUCGGAAUUACUGGGCGUAAAGCGCGCGCAGGCGGCCCUUUAAGUCUACCCGUGAAAUGCCGGAGCUCAACUCCGUGCACGCCGGGGGAUACUGGGGGGCUGGAGACAUGUAGAGGCAAGCGGAAUUCCGGGUGUAGCGGUGGAAUGCGUAGAUAUCGGGAGGAACACCAGUGGCGAAGGCGACUUCCUGGCCUGUUCUUGACGCUGAGGCGCGAAAGCUAGGGGAGCAAACGGG